rnacentral:rRNA from 1 species
UGGGGAAUUUUGCGCAAUGGGCGAAAGCCUGACGCAGCAAUGCCGCGUGAGUGAUGAAGGUUUUAGGAUCGUAAAGCUCUGUCAGUGGGGAAGAAACUAUUGUCCGAUAAUAUCAGGCAGUACUGACGGUACCCACAAAGGAAGCACCGGCUAACUCCGUGCCAGCAGCCGCGGUAAUACGGAGGGUGCAAGCGUUGUUCGGAAUUAUUGGGCGUAAAGAGCAUGUAGGCGGUUGUUUAAGUCUGGUGUGAAAGCCCGGGGCUCAACCCCGGAAGUGCAUUGGAUACUGGACAACUUGAGUACGGGAGAGGAAAGUGGAAUUCCGAGUGUAGGGGUGAAAUCCGUAGAUAUUCGGAGGAACACCAGUGGCGAAGGCGGCUUUCUGGACCGAUACUGACGCUGAGAUGCGAAAGCGUGGGGAGCAAACA